rnacentral:rRNA from 1 species
GAUGGCGACCGGCGCACGGGUGAGUAACACGUAUCCAACCUGCCGAUGACUCGGGGAUAGCCUUUCGAAAGAAAGAUUGAUACCCGAUGGCAUAGUUCUUCCGCAUGGUGGAACUAUUAAAGAAUUUCGGUCAUCGAUGGGGAUGCGUUCCAUUAGGUUGUUGGCGGGGUAACGGCCCACCAAGCCUUCGAUGGAUAGGGGUUCUGAGAGGAAGGUCCCCCACCAUUGGAACUGAGACACGGUCCAAACUCCUACGGGAGGCAGCAUG